rnacentral:misc_RNA from 1 species
GAUGAAGAACGCAGCGAAAUGCGAUAAGUAAUGUGAAUUGCAGAAUUCAGUGAAUCAUCGAAUCUUUGAACGCACAUUGCGCCCUCUGGUAUUCCGGGGGGCAUGCCUGUUCGAGCGUCAUUAUAACCACUCAAGCUCUCGCUUGGUAUUGGAGUUCGCGAUCUCGCGGCUCCUAAAAUCAGUGGCGGUGCCUGUCGGCUCUACGCGUAGUAAUACUCCUCGCGAUUGAGUCCGGUAGGUUUACUUGCUAGCAACCCCCAAUUUUUACAGGUUGACCUCGGAUCAGGUAGGGAUACCCGCUGAACUUAAGCAUAUCAAUAAGCGGAGGA